rnacentral:rRNA from 1 species
CGGGGAUGAGGUGUGGGUAGCGGAGAAAUUCCAAUCGAACUUGGAGAUAGCUGGUUCUCUCCGAAAUAGCUUUAGGGCUAGCCUCGAGGUAAAGAGUCAUGGAGGUAGAGCACUGUUUGGACUAGGGGCCCUUCUCGGGUUACCGAAUUCAGAUAAACUCCGAAUGCCAUGUACUUAUACUCGGGAGUCAGACUGCGAGUGAUAAGAUCCGUAGUCGAAAGGGAAACAGCCCAGACCACCAGUUAAGGUCCCCAAAUAUAUGUUAAGUGGAAAAGGAUGUGGGGUUGCUUAGACAACCAGGAUGUUGGCUUAGAAGCAGCCACCAUUGAAAGAGUGCGUAAUAGCUCACUGGUCGAGUGACCCCGCGCCGAAAAUGUACCGGGGCUAAACAUAUUACCGAAACUGUGGAUGAACCUCUUUAGAGGUUCGUGGUAGGAGAGCGUUCUAAGGGCGGUGAAGUCAGACCGGAAGGACUGGUGGAGCGCUUAGAAGUGAGAAUGCCGGUAUGAGUAGCGAAAGAAGGGUGAGAAUCCCUUCCACCGAAUAUCUAAGGUUUCCUGAGGAAGGCUCGUCCGCUCAGGGUUAGUCGGGACCUAAGCCGAGGCCGAUAGGCGUAGGCGAUGGACAACAGGUAGAGAUUCCUGUACCAGUGCUAAUUGUUUAACCGAUGGGGUGACACAGAAGGAUAGGGAAUCGCACGAAUGGAAAUGUGCGUCCAAGCAGUGAGUGUGAGAAGUAGGCAAAUCCGCUUCUCGCGAAGCAUGAGCUGUGAUGGGGAAGGAAAUUAAGUACGGAAGUUCCUGAUUUCACGCUGUCAAGAAAAGCCUCUAGGAAGAGUAGUACUGCCCGUACCGCAAACCGACACAGGUAGAUGAGGAGAGAAUCCUAAGGUGAGCGAGAGAACUCUCGUUAAGGAACUCGGCAAAAUGACCCCGUAACUUCGGGAGAAGGGGUGCUCUAUUAGGGUGCAAGCCCGAGAGAGCCGCAGUGAAUAGGCCCAGGCGACUGUUUAGCAAAAACACAGGUCUCUGCAAAACCGUAAGGUGACGUAUAGGGGCUGACGCCUGCCCGGUGCUGGAAGGUUAAGAGGAGUGCUUAGCUUCGGCGAAGGUACGAAUUGAAGCCCCAGUAAACGGCGGCCGUAACUAUAACGGUCCUAAGGUAGCGAAAUUCCUUGUCGGGUAAGUUCCGACCCGCACGAAAGGCGCAACGAUCUGGGCACUGUCUCAACGAGAGACUCGGUGAAAUUAUAGUACCUGUGAAGAUGCAGGUUACCCGCGACAGGACGGAAAGACCCCGUGGAGCUUUACUGCAACCUGAUAUGGAAUGUUUGUACCGCUUGUACAGGAUAGGUAGGAGCCGAAGAGACGUGUGCGCUAGCAUACGAGGAGGCAAUGGUGGGAUACUACCCUGGCUGUAUGACCAUUCUAACCCGCCACGCUUAGCGCGUGGGGAGACAGUGUCAGGUGGGCAGUUUGACUGGGGCGGUCGCCUCCUAAAGAGUAACGGAGGCGCCCAAAGGUUCCCUCAGAAUGGAUGGAAAUCAUUCGCAGAGUGUAAAGGCACAAGGGAGCUUGACUGCGAGACUGACAAGUCGAGCAGGGACGAAAGUCGGGCUUAGUGAUCCGGUGGUUCCGCAUGGAAGGGCCAUCGCUCAACGGAUAAAAGCUACCCCGGGGAUAACAGGCUUAUCUCCCCCAAGAGUCCACAUCGACGGGGAGGUUUGGCACCUCGAUGUCGGCUCGUCGCAUCCUGGGGCUGUAGUCGGUCCCAAGGGUUGGGCUGUUCGCCCAUUAAAGCGGCACGCGAGCUGGGUUCAGAACGUCGUGAGACAGUUCGGUCCCUAUCCGUCGCGGGCGCAGGAAAUUUGAGAGGAGCUGUCCUUAGUACGAGAGGACCGGGAUGGACACACCGCUGGUGUACCAGUUGUUCCGCCAGGAGCAUCGCUGGGUAGCUAUGUGUGGCAGGGAUAAACGCUGAAAGCAUCUAAGCGUGAAGCCCCCCUCAAGAUGAGAUUUCCCAUUUCUUCGGAAAGUAAGAUCCCUGAAAGAUGAUCAGGUAGAUAGGUUUGGAGUGGAAGUGUAGCGAUACAUGGAGCGGACAAAUACUAAUCGAUCGAGGACUUAACCAAAA